rnacentral:rRNA from 1 species
UACGUAGGGUGCAAGCGUUUAAUCGGAAUUACUGGGCGUAAAGCGUGCGCAGGCGGUUAUGUAAGACAGAUGUGAAAUGCCCGGGCUUAACCUGGGAACUGCAUUUGUGACUGCAUGGCUAGAGUUUGGCAGAGGGGGGGUAGAAUUCCACGUGUAGCAGUGAAAUGCGUAGAUAUGUGGAGGAACACCGAUGGCGAAGGCAGCCCCCUGGGUCAAGACUGACGCUCAUGCACGAAAGCGUGGG